UACAGAGGUCCCAAGCGUUGUUCGGAUUCACUGGGCGUAAAGGGUGCGUAGGUGGUGAGGUAAGUCGGAUGUGAAAGCUCGGAGCUCAACUCCGAAAUGGCAUUGGAAACUACCUUGCUAGAGGAUUGGAGGGGGGACUGGAAUACUUGGUGUAGCAGUGAAAUGCGUAGAUAUCAAGUGGAGCACCAGUGGCGAAGGCGAGUCCCUGGACAAUACCUGACACUGAGGCACGAAAGCUAGGGGAGCAAACAGG
rnacentral:rRNA from 1 species